CCUCCCACGCCCUCUAGAAAUUCCCUCUGAACCAGAGCACAUGAGCACGCGCGGAUGAGACAAAGGAGGGGGAGAUGACCGUCGUUUGGAAAAGGUCGUUUUUCUCAACUGAACGGAUCAGGGUGAAGCCUAGACUGGCACGCGGAAGCCUAGCCUCUGUUUACUCCUCUGGGUCUCCGCCCCCAGAGGUCAACUCCUUGAAGGCAGAACCUGUGUCUGGGAGCCUCAGAGAUUAACCCAGAGCCUGGUAGGCAUAGGUGCUCACAUGCCUGCACCGUGCACGUGGACAUCAGUGAAGCUGGUACAGGGCCCGGAGCACACUCCUCCAGAGGCCAGCUUCCUCCACUGCUCAAAGCACAUCAGUUACUCAAAGCACAUCGCAGACAGAACAUCAUUUUAUUAAUAACUGUGAAGACAUAUAAACAAGCUGAGGACGGAAGCUCCCCUGAGCACAGUCCGCUGUCAUUCCUUCGUCCUCCGCAUUCCAGCUGCAGGUCCGCGUUUCCGCGUGGAUUCCUGCUCCACCCGUCCUCAUCCAGCCCUCAGCACCUCAGGAGAAAUUCGAUAUAACUAAGGACACACGCCGCUGGAACCUCUGACACACGCCGUGUCCGUUAUCUCCCUCCCGAGGACAUGGGCUCAAGCGGGUCCCGGCUGCCGGUUGGAGGCAGGAGGAGGCAGGGCUCUCAGACUGCACGCUCGCGGCCGCCUCAUCCGCGUCAGAAGGGCCGCCCCUUACGUGCAUUUACUUGGUGUUUUUAUCCUAUCCUUUCUGAUUUCUCAUAAAUGGUAACUGUGAAGGAUGUACAUGCUUUGUGCUGGAGGGAGGGGUGUGUGAUGGACGCGUGGAGGCCAAGGUCCCGGGGCACUCGUGUCCCAGGCGAUUUUAUUCUCCGCCAGGAAAUCGAACACCCAACAGUGACGAAGGCCCGCAGGAGGGGAUGGGGGUGUGUCCUGGACCCGGCCCUGGGGACCCAGUGUGCCAGCUGCUCCCACAGACGCAGAGCUGAUCGUCCCACAUGUUUCUGGCAGAUCCUGCCAAUGGCCAAGGUCCAUGGCGAGACCACUUCAGAGCAGCCAGCGGUCGGGGCAGGGUCUCCUCCACCUGGAGCUGAGGGAGGGCUGGCCUGUAGGGAGGUUAGAACAGCCCAAGGGAAACAGGAACAGCAGCCUUGGCUCAGAGUCUGAAGACACAGGCCAGGGCCCCCUCUUCUCCGCCUACAGCACUGUGUCCCCCGAAAGCCCGGGGAGACACAGUAAACAUUUAUGCAAGGAUGACGGACGUGCAGCGAAAUCCUUGCAAAUCCUCUCACUCUCAGUUUACACACCUGCAAAAUGGGAAGCCUCAGCUAGACCAUUUUCAGGAUUGUAAAAUGGCUUGGUUUAGUGAAUACCUGCUUCUUCCCUGAUUACCUACUUUCACACACAAUUAAAGCAAACUGUAGUCAAACCUCAUUAAUCUACAGUUACAGGAGUAAGGCCCAUCUAGUUCAUUAAAAAGCUGAAUUAUCACAUAUUUGAAGAGAAAUGUAACUUCAUUAUUGGUAAACUCAAUAAAUUGUAUAAAGAGGUCAGUGAAUAAAAGUAAAGUGUUAUAUAAAAGAACUUGUAUGCUUAGGGCCGAGACGGUUAAAUGUAAA